UCCGUAGGUGGAAGAUUAAGUCAGAGGUGAAAUCCUGCAGCUCAACUGUAGAAUUGCCUUUGAUACUGGUUUUCUUGAGUUAUUAUGAAGUAGUUAGAAUAUGUAGUGUAGCGGUGAAAUGCAUAGAUAUUACAUAGAAUACCAAUUGCGAAGGCAGAUUACUAAUAAUCAACUGACACUGAUGGACGAAAGCGUGGGGAGCGAACA
rnacentral:rRNA from 1 species